GCCGCCCGGGGGAGGCGGCGCGGGGCGGGAGCGGCGCUAGAGCCGGAGCCGCGCCCGGGCAGGGGCGCGCAGCCAGGAGGGAGGGAAAGGCAGCUGCAGGGAUGAGGUGCCAGCUGUGCCCUGGCAGGGCUCGCUGUGUCAGGCUCCACACCUGCUCCUCUCCACGGACUUGUGGCUGGUUUCGUCAAACCCAGGGUACCGCUCCCAUCAGGUGGAGCAGGAUGCAGUGCAGGACAGAGAUGAAGUUUCGUCCGUGUCUGUGGAUAAACUGCCAUGAAUGUGGGUGACAACUAAGCAGGGAUUAUCUUGGGAGAGUGAAAAGAAAAGGUCCAGCUGCAUCCAACCUCAGGUGUGACCAAAGGUGGCCCCUGGGCCGAGGCUUCAGGAAGGUUUGGGCUGGAAUCUUUUUUUCGUGGAACAGGUGAAGAUCUUUGGAAAAGAACUUUUUUAUCAUGGAAACAAACUGUUUAUAAGUAUGUACUCAAACAAGGAGAGUGCAGAGAUGCUUUUCCCUUUGUUUUCUCAGAAGAGAACAACGUUCUGAUUAGUUAAAGUUGCAUAAAAUGCUCCCCUACGAACUGCUGGAGUGAAUUUAUUCCAAGUUCAAAGUCAAAAUUAAGUCUUUAAAGUUGUUGGUUGUCCCCCUGCCCUUUUCAUGUGCACAUUGCUGGGGAGUCUGGGAGCUAAAACUAAAUGUGUUUGCAGGAUAAAUAUCUGAGCAUCCUAUCAAACUGUAAAUAAAUUUUGAGUAACACUUUUGCAGAGUACAGCUUUUCUUAAACAACAAAAAAACCUCUGGUCACUGGGCUGAUCAUACCUUCAGGAUAU